CCUCCAAGGCUAAAUACUCCUGACUGACCGAUAGUGAACCAGUACCGUGAGGGAAAGGCGAAAAGAACCCCGGCGAGGGGAGUGAAAAAGAACCUGAAACCGUGUACGUACAAGCAGUGGGAGCACCUUCGGGUGUGACUGCGUACCUUUUGUAUAAUGGGUCAGCGACUUAUAUUCUGUAGCAAGGUUAACCGUAUAGGGGAGCCGGAGGGAAACCGAGUCUUAAUUGGGCGUUAAGUUGCAGGGUAUAGACCCGAAACCCGGUGAUCUAGCCAUGGGCAGGUUGAAGGUUGGGUAACACUAACUGGAGGACCGAACCGACUAAUGUUGAAAAAUUAGCGGAUGACCUGUGGCUGGGGGUGAAAGGCCAAUCAAACCGGGAGAUAGCUGGUUCUCCCCGAAAGCUAUUUAGGUAGCGCCUCGUGAAUUCAUCUCCGGGGGUAGAGCACUGUUUCGGCUAGGGGGCCAUCCCGGCUUACCAACCCGAUGCAAACUGCGAAUACCGGAGAAUGUUAUCACGGGAGACACACGGCGGGUGCUAACGUCCGUCGUGAAGAGGGAAACAACCCAGACCGCCAGCUAAGGUCCCAAAGUCAUGGUUAAGUGGGAAACGAUGUGGGAAGGCCCAGACAGCCAGGAUGUUGGCUUAGAAGCAGCCAUCAUUUAAAGAAAGCGUAAUAGCUCACUGGUCGAGUCGGCCUGCGCGGAAGAUGUAACGGGGCUAAACCAUGCACCGAAGCUGCGGCAGCGA
rnacentral:rRNA from 1 species